AUCCAACUGACAAGUCCCAAAUAGGACAAGACGCACGUCUAAACUGGAU
rnacentral:hammerhead_ribozyme from 1 species